AAAGGAGGCAUCCAAAGGGAUCGCAUUGAUCCGAAAUCUUGCAUAUACAUAGCAUGUGUAUUUAAACCGAGUUGGGAUCAUGCUAUCCUUUUGGAUUCAUUCUU
rnacentral:pre_miRNA from 2 species